AUGCGGGCCCCGGUCUCGAAUGGCCCACAUCUGCCCCGCCCCGCCAUGGGCAGCCUGGCUCUCUGCUGCGGGAUCCUUUUAUUCCUGGGGAUAGAGUCCAAGGAUGCUACAGUCUCCCAGACACCCAGGCACAGGGUGACAAAGACGGGACAAGCAGUAACUCUGAGAUGUGAGCCAAUUCCUGGCCACACCACCCUUUUCUGGUACAGACAGACCUCCAUGCAGGGACCGCAGUCCCUGAUUUACUUUACCAAUCAAGUACCUAUAGAUAAGACAGGGAUGCCCAAGGACCGAUUCUCAGCUGAGAUGCCCAGUGGGUCACUCUCCAACCUGAAGAUCCAGCCUGCAGAACCUGGGGACUCAGCCAUGUACCUGUGUGCCAGCAGUGUGGGCACAGCGCUGCAGAGCCACGCCCUCCCUGUGCAGAAACCCCAGCUUCCCCUUCUGGCCUCACCCCCAGCCAUUCUGAGGAAAGCCCGCACGAGCGUACCACCCUUCAUCGUCCUACUCGCUUCUUCCCACCAGCGCUCUCCUCCCCAGUCUCCUCUCGUCCCGCCUGCCAAUCCUGUCAUCGUCUGUGGUGACUCCAUCAUCACGCGGACCAUCUGUACGUCCACUGAACACGUCACCAUGGACAAAAUGACCUCAUCUGUCAUUUCAACUUUCUCAUCUUUGAAACAGGAAUAA